CUCCUCCCGCUCUCUCCCGAAUAAUGGUUCCCUCCAAAUUCUAUUUUUCCAUUAAAUCAUAUUCCCUCGCAUUCAUGCCCAUUUCUUCUCAGACCUAGUCGUGUCUCCCUCUCGUUUCUCUUGUGAACUGUUUAGUUUGGUUCUUUCGCUUUCUUUGUAUCUCUAUUACUUACAUUGUUUUAAUCUCUUGUGAAGUAUCCAACUGCAAAAUGCGAGAAUCAGCAGGCAAUUGCUAUUUUGCAAAUUACAUUCAGCUUUCCAAAGUUCUUUCAAAUCUCCUUCAGCAGGGUCCAAUAUAUCAGUUAUCAGUAUUGGUUAAGCAAGGAAAAUAUCAAUUAAGUUGAAUGACCAGAAGAUAACAAUUGUGUUGAAUGGCCAGUCUUCCAAUGUGGAGAGCUUCACCAUUUGUAGGCAUGGUGUCAUAAAGCUAAAUCACUGGCGUUGGGCCCGGUGCUUGGCAACAAAAAUAUGCAUUGAUUUGCAGGCCAAGUUUGUUAAUGUAUCGAUUUCUCUCUUUCUUUUGAAGCAGAUUGGCUGUAUUACUUGAAUUUUGGCAGCAAUUUAGUUUGUUAACUCUUUGGGUAAGCUAUGUUGUGUAAGUCUAAGUCAUAGGAUUAGGUGCUUUUUCUUACUGGUGAUUGAAUUAUUGAUUGGGAACAAUGAACAUAGCUGGCUCAGUGACAUCUUCCAAUGUGACUACAGGUAGAUGGAAUACAUAUCUGGAAUCACAACUUACAUAAAUAAAUGAUGGUUUUCUUGACAAACUGAUUGCAUGUGGAUUUUCCUUGUCCCUGGAACUACCUUUUACAGAAACUUACAACAAUAUCUAGGAACAAAAAAAGGUCCCUAUCAUUCUUAUUGUGAGAAUUGAUUCGAAAGUCUGCUUUUCCAACUCCAAUUGCAUGAAAGGCAGGUACAAAUUAUUAAAUUGAAAGAAACUAAUCAAGCAAAGGUACCCGCUGCCCACAACAGUAGGGAAUUUGCCUUCUGGGUUGAGCUAGUUGCACAGGGUUUGUCUAGUGCGGGUUAUCUCUUCUGUGUGGUUUGCGAGUUAUUGCACAGGAGCUGAGUUUACUCUGUGUGCACCCAAGGGUAGCGGCUGCGGGAAUUGAUUAGUUCUUGUAAAUUUCCUCUCUAGUAUCCAUGUCCUAAUUCAAUAUUAUUUAGAAUGUAAUAAAUUAGUUUGAAUAUGUCCUAACUUUAAAAUUGGGCAAAUAUUAUUUGAUAAUGAUGCCUGCUUGUCACACCAUUUAGCAUUUGUGUCUAUUCUGGUAAAGAGGAUGUUGUUUGGAUUAUAUAUAUGUUGACCCUCUGGUUAUGUUUUUUCAA